CACACGCACACACACACACACAUGCACGCACGCUCACACACACAGGGAAUGAUGCAAAGGUUUUCCCAUUCUUUCCUAGAUCAUUCAGUACUUUUAUUUAACGAGCUUUGAGUAAAAAGGUUUUUUCAUAUUGCCUAAUUAAUGUGAUUACUUUUUUAAUCUUUUCAGUAUUACUUCAACCACGUUCUAUCACAGAAGGUGCGGAAUAUCCGAUGGGCAAGGAACAAGAGGAGUGAGCAGAUAAGUAAUGAAACUGGUGGGAAAAGGAAAAAGCCGCACCUCAGUUUGGCCAAGAUUGAUGAGGUCAAAGAAAUGGACGUUGAGAAGGCGAAAAAGACCCUGGAAUUGGAAU